GACCAAACCUAAGAAUAAUAGGAAUAAAGGAUGGAGAAGAAUCCCAGGUCAAAGGCCUGGAAAAUAUUUUCAAAAAAAUCAUAGAAGAAAAUUUUCCUAAUAUAAAGAAGGAGAUGCUUAU